rnacentral:rRNA from 1 species
AGUGAACGCUGGCGGUAGGCCUAACACAUGCAAGUCGAACGGCAGCACAGGAGAGCUUGCUCUCUGGGUGGCGAGUGGCGGACGGGUGAGGAAUACAUCGGAAUCUACUCUGUCGUGGGGGAUAAAGUAGGGAAACUUACGCUAAUACCGCAUACGACCUACGGGCGAAAGCAGGGGACCUUCGGGCCUUGCGCGAUUGAAUGAGCCGAUGUCGGAUUAGCUAGUUGGCGGGGUAAAGGCCCACCAAGGCGACGAUCCGUGGCUGGUCUGAGAGGAUGAUCAGCCACACUGGAACUGAGACACGGUCCAGACUCCUACGGGAGGCAGCAGUGGGGAAUAUUGGACAAUGGGCGCAAGCCUGAUCCAGCCAUACCGCGUGGGUGAAGAAGGCCUUCGGGUUGUAAAGCCCUUUUGUUGGGAAAGAAAUCCAGCUGGCUAAUACCCGGUUGGGAUGACGGUACCCAAAGAAUAAGCACCGGCUAACUUCGUGCCAGCCGCCGCGGUAA